AGUAUAAAAUACUAAAAAACUGAAAACGCAGAGUGAAUAAUAAAAAUACAGAGCUGAAUAUCAGACUGUUUUUGCUUAAAUACACGUGGAAAAUUGUGAUUAUUUCACACGCAGGAAGGAGUUUGGUGCUUAAACUGGAUAAUAGAUCGAAAUAACGUCGAAAUUAUAAUAACAAACAUCAUUUUUCUUCACGGUGAAGCAGUUAUAGAAUAUUUCAUGUCUGGAAACACAAAUAAAUUAUCACAUUAUAUAAUGUAUUUCUGUACCUGUCUGGUGUGACAGCAGGUGAACACUGACAGGCUGUCUCACUCUGCAUAACUGAAUAAAUAAUGAAGUCGUCUAAAAAUCUGCUUAAAUUUAAUGUGUUGGGUUUUAUCGUCCGUGUUUUCCUGUUUUAUUGCUGGUAAAUGAAGGUAUGAGACAUUCAGCUACACCUGUCGAGAGUUUAUGUCCAAAUGUUUUUCUUUAUCGCUGGAAUUUUAACGCCAAAUCAGCCGCCAGAAUAAAAGUCAACUAUAAACUCAGCAGAAGGCACCUGUUCCUGUCAUGAUAGGUUCUUAUUAGUUUAGUUUCUUCCUCUGUUUGUGAGUUAGUUUUAUUUUCACUCAUGCUUCUGUUUCCUUGUGUUCAUUAUUAUUAUGCUCCUGUUGUUCAUGUUUCGUCCCUGUUCAGUUUUCAGUGUUUUAUUUUGUAGGAGUCAAUCCUUAGUUUCCCUCCUUUGUUAAAUACUCGGGAGUCUCACCUGUUGGAUGUAUCUAGUCCCUGUUUUAUCCUUCUUCUUCGUUGGUUUGCGGUCUAUGUUUUGUCAACGUCUUGUGGACUCCCAGUAUUUUUUGGUUUUGCAGUUGUUCUUAGACUUGUGUUUUUGCUUUUAUUUUUUUGUUGUUUUUUUUACUUUGAAACUCUUGUCUAUAAAAUCUUUAGUUUUUGAGUCUACAUUUGGGUACUUUCUUUUGUAAAAACUGCUCUGGAAUAGUUUUGAUAUAAAGAAGACUGUUUCUUUACAGAUGCAACAACCCAAAACAUCUGAAAGAAACCCCUGAUAUAGAAAAACCUACUGUAAACUGAGCCGUAGUUGACUUUAAGUAAUUAAUUUCAUCAAUCAGAUCUCAUUUUUCUCAAUAAUUGCAGGAUAAUUGUUCUCCUCUGUCUCACUUUGUCUCUCUCUGUAUUUAAAAAACCCUUAAGGGUAACUUGAAACUGACGCAGGCUUCAAUAUUUAAAGACCUGAGAGAGCGCUUAAAACCACACAGAUGAGAACUGUGGGUUUAACGAAAAUACGUAGACUUUGGUGCAACUAAACCCAAACAGACAGAUGCUAUAAAACUCAGUUUUCACUUAAAACCCACAUUUUAUUGAUUAACCCAGUGUAGCAGUCUGUUACUGAUGUCAAGAUAGUUUUCCUUAUUUGUCAUAUAAAGGUUUAUGUUUAUGAUUAAAUAAACUCUCUUGCUCAUGUUUGUGCCUCUCUGCAGAGUCUACUGUUCUUUAUUAUCUGUAUGACCAAGAUAUGAGCAGACCUCUCACCUGCUCAUCAAACAUGCUAAGCUGCGAUACAAAGUCAUUAGAGGUGUUCUUACUUUGAAACUAGGGCUGCAGUGGUUUCUUUUGAGAGAUGACAGCACCAAACAUCUUUUUAACUUUGCUUGAUUUCUUAAAGAGACUAAACACAACUCACCUACUCUCUUCCAGCAGCCGCUUGUUUGUAGCGAGACCUUGACCAGUCCGUUAUGGACUACAGCGGGGUGACGCAGCUCAAGGAAGAACAUUUAUGAUUGUUUCUUUAUCAUUUCCUUGAAGUAAACAUCACCAUAUUAAUCAUUUUUCUCUGCAGACAUGGUAGUUCUUCUGCCUUAGCGUCUCGGUCUGAUUGUAUUUCCAUGAAGAAAUGAUCAUAAAUGUUCUUCCUUGAGCUGUGUCACCCCGCUGUAGUCCAUAAUGGACUGGUCAAGGUCUCGCUACAAACAAGCGGCUGCUGGAAGAGAGUAGGUGAGUUGUGUUUAGUCUCUUUGCUAAAGAAAUGAGUCAAAGUUAAAAAGAUGUUUGGUGUCUAGUACUAUGUCUGUGACCCUAUAUGUCCUGUUGAUGAAGUUAGGUGCUGUUCUGAGCAUUAUUUGUGGCUAUAGAGUGGCGUUUUGGUUGAGGGCGUGUCUCUCUGUAUUUCUAUCCUGUGGUCGUUACUAAAGUUGGUAUAACUAGAGAAGCAAGCGGUCGGCAACAUUCAUCUCUGGAGGGGGUGUCUAACUCUGUGUUGCGAUGUGUUUGACCCUAAAUUAGUUUUACACCAUAAUAUCCCUUUAGAAUGAAGUUUGGUGAAGCUGUCACUGAAAAAAAAAAAUCGAAAAUCUGGAUUUUAUUUUUGGCCAAAAUCCUGCAGCCAUAUUUGCAACUAAAAUAAAACUUAUGUAGAGGGUCUUAAACAUAGCGUACAUCCACCUCUUCUACACAUCUCUGCUUUAAGUGACUGUUUCAUAAAGCUAACAUGACCAGGAUGACCUCCUGUUGCAGAUGACUGAUUGUGUCCGCCACAAGCUGCAGAGUCACACAAUAUUCUGCAUCACAUCAAACAAUCACAACAAAAAUAAGCAAAAGCCCAAUCCAAUUGGUAUUAAAAGCAAACAGAAAGCAGGCAGAUUGUGUCCACCUGCUGCUGUGUGGCGGUCACCGACCUCGGCACAGUCAAACACAGAGGUAAUAACCAGGCUGGAUCCCCGGAGGUCUCCCCUCUGCCCUUUAAUCCAUGUGAGAGCAGCUGGACCUCUGCAGAGAAGAUGAAUAACCACAACACUCCGAUUCAACACUCUCACAGGGGUCUCGUGUCGAGAUCACACACCGGCAGACUUCCUGUUUAUUACACGGGCGACCCGGGACUCCAAAGAGAAAAAAGAGGGAAGGGAGGAAAGGUGUCAAAGAGUGGGAUGAGAGGUUCAGGGGUGGAAAUGUUUGGACAGAGACCAGACCGUUUAAGAUUGGUGGUCAGAAUGAGCAGCAGGAGUCACGUCAGCCUCUCUUCGCUGGUUGUUUGUUUGCACCGCUGGUCCGAGGCAGAUACACUCUUGAAGAAGGGAUUAUGCACCUUUCCAAAGUCUCCCCUGUGAUCCUUAAAGAGGACAACAAACACCUGAGGCACACAACGCUGACUUAAGACGCAGCCUCCCUCAUUUACAUCCCUCACAAGUUCCUGUUUUACUCAAGGUCGGACAUCUGCCCACAGGGGAGUCAAAGAGUCUAAGAUCUCCUCGAAAAUAAGGUUUGAAGGCCCAGAUCUGAGGAGCGACAUUUUUAAACCACACUCUGGGAACGGAGGAGGUCUGAAAGUCAAAGUUGUCCCUUUUCUCGCUUGAUUCAGAUUUCAGCUGCUCAGCAGUUGUUGUUUUUCGUUCUUGUUUCCAUGAUGCACCAAACGUUUCUCUACAAGAUAAGUCAGGUGUUCAAUAGGGAUGGGAAUUGAUAAGAUUUUCUCAAUAUCGAUGCCAUUAUCUAUUCCCUUAUCAAUGCCUUUCUUUAAGUUUCUGACAUGCAUUGUGUUUAUGUUAACACAGGACACAUGUUAGGGUGACUAUAUUCUGAAUCCCCAAAAAGAGGACACUACUACGCGGGGCGGACUUGCGUGCAAAAUUUUGCAGGUUCUUUUGGUCGGGUUGAGUGUUUUUCAUGCCCUUGUAACUCAGUUAAACACAUACUCUGAAUUCUUAAAGAAAGUGCAAGCGUGCGUCACGUCAUCAGCUUUGCUUAGAAGUGAGCGGAGGGCGGAGCUGCAGAGAGCACUGAUGCUCUGCACUGUUUUAUAAUGAAUGAAUACAGGUUCUGGACACUUAAGGAUUUGAUAAACUCCCCUGGACCACCCCCCAAAAGAGGACAUGUGCGGGUAAAAGAGGACGUAUCACCCUAACAUUCGUUCCUUCCAUGCCGUGCUGAGACAGAGCAGCAGUGGCUGACGACAGGCGGAGAGCAUCGAAUACAUGUGACACAUACUAGCUCGUUUCUGCUGACUUUUCUCACCAUACCGUUUUUUUCUCUGUCUGUUCCCGUUCCCGUAGACUGGCACUCGCGAGACUGUUUUUCAAGACACCAGGAAGGAAGGAAUCAUUAAAGUAAAAUGUAAAUGAUGUCGAUGGAUUGAACCAUUUGGAACCGGUUCUCAACAAGAACCGGUUCUCGAUUCCCUAGUGUUGCAUUUUUGGUGCAAACUCUGGGCACUUUUCCUCCCUCAUGGAAUCACAGAUGCUGGACUUUGAUCCGCGCUCUGACAGUUCAUUUGUUUUUCAUUUACUCGUUCUCUCUGCAGCGUCCGUGAAUUCCAGGAGGAGUGUCAGAUUUUAACUCAAAAGUCUACAUGAUAGUUUUCUACUUUCCUGCAGUCCAUCAUAGAUGUGCUACUUGAAAUGACUUCCACUAACAGUCUCUGGGGCUCCUCUGUGUGCUUGAUUAGAUAGACAUGAAAAGACGAUGUUCCUGUUGGAGGCAGAGACACUCGUGUUGAGGGUAAAACAAUGUGGUGAUUUGUCCAACACUAACUUAUAAAAUCAUCUUUACUCCCUCUCAUUAAGAUUCCUCCCGUGUCGACACAUCUGUUGCUCUUGUAAUUUCUCUGAUGUUUCCCUUCAAGCAGCCGAGCUUAUGGAUCACGGAGAGGACGCUGAUCCAAACAGCUUCAGAAACAAUCAAGAGAGUGCACUCAGCUGUUUUUUUUUUUUCCUUCCUGUCGAGUCGUCGGAGGUGAAGUAGCCGUCUGUGCACUCUACUCAGCAUCAAAUUAAGGUAAAAGUAAGUGGCCGGGCUCUGAUUCAAUUUUGACAGAAGGAGUGGAGCCACAUUCAUUACAUUUCCAAAUCUUUUUUAACCUCAGAGUGUCCCCGCUGGAACGCGAUGUUCAAUAAAGUCUCACAUUAGCGACCUGUCUGCGCGGGGUGAAGUAUGAGUGCGCCGCCGGAGAACAAUGGCUUUCCAGACAGCAUUGUCCUUCUGCUUUAUGACGGAGAAAAACAUGAUCAGCUGUUUUCAUUUUCAGGAGGAUGAAUCAUAAAGGGGACCAACCGGGCAAACCAUCAACAUAAACAGACGAAUUCAGAAUGUGUCCCUCUAACUGCUGAUAAUGCCCCCUAGAGGCCAAAAAAGGCGCCGUAACUAGUUUGUUCCAUUUAAGAUAAGGUACUUUUUUGGAACCAAAGUCUUUCCUGAUUGCAUGAAAAUGACACAAAGAAUCAAUCAGCUGAACAGGAGCUUUGCUGCAGACGUCAUUAAACCAUUUAGUUCAUUUUUAAGCACCAACGCUAUAAUCACAGGAAACCUUCCAAACGGACCGUAGGACCAUAACCGCCGUUCUUCUGGGAGCGGAAAUUUAAUUUCAUGUCAUUUUCUGUCAUUUUAGGCUCUUAUCUCCUGAGGGGUCUAACUGCAAAACUCCACUGAGCGGACUGAAAGUUGGGUCAAAGCCUUUCAAAAUAAAAGCGAAUAUACUGGAAGUGCGUCAAAAGUUGACUCAAAGCUAUUCAAAUAAAAGCAAACUGGAGGUAUGAUUUUUUUUUUUACUUAUGUUGGAAGUUGAUUUGAACCCCCGAAAUUAUGUUGUUGUUGUUGUUUUUUAAUGUUAGAAGUUGAUUCAAAGCCUUUCAAAAUAAAAGCAAUUAGACUGGGAAGUACAUAUUUUUUGUCACGUGUGAAUACAUUUUAUUUCUUGGGGCUUUAUUUUAUGUUGAUAACAUUAAUAUUAUUUCUUGUGUAUUUAUGUGUUCAACAGAGACAAAAUACUAAACAGGAUGACCACUUUGAGGGUUAUUCUACAGAUAAAAAAUACAAACUUAAUGAUCAGCUAUUGGUAUGAUCACUCAAAAACAUUAAUUUAUGUACUGGUAUUUUGAAUUAAACCGCAAAACAGACAGCUGUUAGUUUAGUUUAGUUUGCACUACAAAUCCAUUUAAAACAAUAAAUCUCUGUUAAAACACCUUAAUAUGUGUGAUAGCAUAAUGUAUCUACACUCUAACUGCUGACUGUUCUUUGCUUUUACACCAUUUAUCAUUGAAAAUGUCGCCUCCUGCACUCUUGGACUCAUUUACAUAUCUCUAAACUAUCUUCACGGUUAAAACAAACUGGAGCGCGUGAGGAAAAAUGACGCCUCGGGUCCUCUCAGAGGAGGUCUGCAGCCAGACUGUCUUACUUAUCUCUCUCUUUCUCUCUUGCCAUAGUCUCUCUUGCUUUGCUUUAAAAAUCACAAUUAUCAGUUUUUAUCCAUUAUUUGUUUUUGUAACAGACAAAGGAGAUCGAAGGUUAGAGGGUCCGCAGAAAGUCUCAGAAUUAAUUUAAACUUAUUUAACAGAUUAAAACCUAAUUCUAAAAUAGUUCAGAUGUUACUGUCAUUGUCCUGUUGUGAUAUGAAGGUCAUACUACGUUCACACAGAGCGGUUUCUGGUGGGAGUUUUGAGCCCAUGGAGAGACCACCACUACACAGUCAUAUCUGUUUUUUAACAGAGGGACCAACGAUCUCUCAAACAGCUUUUCUGGUGUUAUGUUGUAAAUUAUUCAGGUUAAUUCUACAUGACUUUUAGAUCAAUUUAACCUCCUUCAGCUCUUCAUGAUCAAGCCCGCAUUGACUGUCUCGACGACGGAGCCGAGAAAAUGUAAUUGGAUGCAAAGCUGAUCUCGCUACAUUAACUGGUAAAAAGCUUCUAUUACACUAUUUAAUGCAACAGCAGCCAAGCUCGAUGAUUUGAGUGUUAAAUGCACGCUCAUAAAUGACUGAAACUUAUUAAUUUAAAGGGGAAAUUCAAGCAAAAGAGAACACAAAGACAACAUCUCCAACUAAACGCCCGCUGAUGUGAAGUGAGGCGUUCGACGCUUCCUGUUUCCACCGGUCAGUGAUGGAUGGAAGGAAACAGAUUGCUUCAGCCCAAACAGAUUCAUCCAAGAGUGUUGUGACAUCUACUUCUAAUGGCAUCUGCGCUCCAUGAGAAUCAAACCUAACUCUGCCUGACAGAAACAGAUGUCUCCGUUGUGCCUGUAUGACUCCGGCUCCCUGGGCUCCACUGUAAUGCAGGGAUGAAAAAGGGAAGCUUUGUUUUACAGGUACUCACUGAAACAUUCAGGGACUUCUGCUCUGAUCCGCCGGCUGCUCACAGGAGGAACAGCUGACUGCUUCUAUCUGGUACAAAGGGGGUUAACGUCUAAAUCCAAUAUUCUUUGUCUAAUAUUCUGCAGCAAACAGUCGCACAGCCAUUACAGGAGCGUCGGAGACAGAUGGUCUGAAAUAAUCAUUACCUCGAAAAUUAAAACAUCGGUUUUUCAGACCGGGUCUCACGAGAGAAUAAAACCGUGUUUGUCCAUGAGAUUACCUGUCAAAGUGGAGCCUAUAUUAUAAAACAAACUUUUAAAAUGAGACUUUUCUAUAAUGUACGUCUCCGUUUUUUCUGUUGUCUCAGAUGAAAACUCCCCACACUUUCAGGACAUUUAUUCAGAAAAUUGAAAUGUACAGUAGAGCUGAAAGUUAUAUUCUUCAUCUGAAUGACUAUUUUUCAGGCCUUUUGUCGACAACACAAGAUCUUACAAGAGAUUUAACCUUAACACUUAAAAUACAACGUAUUUCAUUACUGUUUGUUUUAAUGAUGUAAGGUGACCUCAAGUGUCAAGAAAGUGGCACCUAUAGAUAAAAUGAAAAAUAUAUAUACACACAUGUAUUAACAGCAAAGUGGUGAACCCAAAUGUCCAUGCUAACUAUCACAGAAGGGCGGGGAUGUGGUAUGAAGUGCAGUGAGUGUUGGGCAGUAUGAACAAAAUCUUAUUUCACGGUCUGAGUAAUUUCAUAUCACAGUAACAGUUUAUGUCACACUAUGUUUUUUCCCUGUAAAUUCAAUUAAUGGCUUAAAAAUAACCAAACUGUUUUGGUCAUUUUCCUUUUAUUUUUAAACUCAGAUUUGUAAACAAAUACGAACAAACUGUCAGACCAGUCUGGCGUUUUUUCAUCAUAUGGCGUAACUUUGGUGAAAGACUCUGCCGAGCUCUUUACUCUGAGAGGAGCUGCUGCAGUUUUAGUUUUUGGUGCAGCAGGUGCGGCACGCAUCAUUCGGCUCUCAUAAUAGAGUUUGGCGAGUUUCAUCUUUAGGUGGUGGAGGAGGUUGUUGGUGUUUCCGACAGCCACACGAAACUCUAUGUAUAGUAUCAUUUUAUGAUCAUUGGCGGAUUUUCUAAAUCCGAAGAAUCUCCAGACAACCGAUGUUGCGACUCGCGCCCUUUUUCGGAACAAGUUCCUCCUCGGGUGGGUCGGGCUGCCUCCGUUUGCUCGGUACUUUCUCUGUGCCCGCCAUGACCACCACCAGUGAAGCUGUUUCUUCUUCCAAGCAGUCUGCUGGACACGCUGGUGAUUAUAGGGAGCGCACCCAAACCUGACCAAUCAAACGGAGUAAACAAACUCCUCACGACACGCUGGUGAAUAUACAAAAACGCACCCAAACG